AGUGAACGCUGGCGGUAGGCCUAACACAUGCAAGUCGAACGGCCGCACCGUAAGAGCUUGCUCUUACGGGUGGCGAGUGGCGGACGGGUGAGGAAUACAUCGGAAUCUACUUUUUCGUGGGGGCUAACGUAGGGAAACUUACGCUAAUACCGCAUACGACCUACGAGUGAAAGCAGGGGAUCUUCGGACCUUUCGCGAUUGAAUGAGCCGAUGUCGGAUUAGCUAGUUGGCGGGGUAAAGGCCUACCAAGGCGACGAUACGUAGCUGGUCUGAGAGGAUGAUCAGCCACGCUGGAACGGAGAAACGGUCCAGACGCCUCCGGGAGGCAGCAGUGGGGAAUAUUGGACGAUGGGGGGAAGCCUGAUCCAGCCAUACCGAGUGGGUGAAGAAGGCCUUCGGGUUGUAAAGACCAUGUGUUGGGAAAGAAAAGCAGCAGGUUAAUACCCCGAUGUACUGACGGUACCCAAAGAAUAAGCACCGGCUAACUUCGUG
rnacentral:rRNA from 1 species